rnacentral:snRNA from 1 species
AUUGCUUCUUGGCCUUUUGGCUAAGAUCAAGUGUAGUAUCUAAAAAUACAUAUAUACCUACUGAUAUUUAAACUAAGCUGGUCUUUAAAUAGCCUUU